AACAAAAUCUGUAUUUGGUCAUUUGCUGGAUGUCUCUUCUUUGUACCAAACGCAAGCAAGACAACCUUCCCAAUUAUCAAAUUAUCCAAGCACAGAGUCAGCCAGCUCUGUAGAAGGCAAAGGAUGCCAAGUGGGCAAAUUACAUUAAGGGUCCUGUCUCAGUCACUUUCGUCACUGCUGAGACAUCAUACACAGCACCCACAAACUAAAGGAGGCACGAUUUAUUUGGCUCAUGCUUCAGUCCAUGGUUGCCUGAUUCCAAGGCAGAACGGAUGGCAGAAGGAUUUGGUGGAGGAAAACUGCUCACUUCAUGGCAACCAGGAAGCAGAGCAAAAAGGGAGGAGUUAGGGAGAGAGACACACCCUUCUAAGGCCAGCCCCCUCGGGACCUCUCCCCUCUGAUUGGACGCCAGUUUACAGAGCAAGCCAGUGAUACAGACCUGUUAUCCAAUCACCUUCCAAACACACAAGGCUUUGGGGCCAUGUGAGGUUUAAACCAUAGCCGGUCCAGCUCUUCACUCCUCCCUAUAUGACUCUGCCAUGUGACUUCUCCCUAGAAAAAAGCACAGUGCAUUUCCUGCCUCUUUAUUUUGAGUUUGAUCAUGUGACUUGCUUUGGCCAAGAGGAAAGACUCAAAAAAAGCAAUGGAUGUUUCUAUUUGCAUUUGUUUUUCUUCUGAUGUAAGAGAGGGAUCUGGUGAGGGUGGCUUGCUGUUCCAGCAGGAAAAUGGAAGCCACAUGAUGCAGAACUGACCCAGCCAAGCAGAGUUCAGAGCGAUGUCCCCACUCAACCUGCCCCACAUUGCUAUCAACACACCAUAAGUGUGUUGUUACCCAUAUAAAUGAUGCUACUAUCUUGCCUGCUGCAUUUGGUAAAAACAAGUUGCCCAUCUGCUGCUUUGUGAAUUGACCCACACAAAUUCUUCACCAAAAUGUUAAACGCACAUUGCAUGUUCAUGCAAAUAAAGUCUUGAAAUAUGUCAAA